CGUAAUUUCCGGUUUGUAAUUGAAAAACGAGAAAUUUUGAAACAAUUACGUUUUUUGUCUACAUUUACUGCUGUUCGAGGAUGCUUCUGUCGAGUUUUGACAGGACAGUAUCCAUGCUCCCUGUCCGACACCCUCCCAUGUUGCAGUUAACAUUUCCCUGCCAGUCUUCUUCCCCCAUCAUGCCCAACCGACUGGUCCAAUAUUGUUCAAAACUAUAUGGAAAUGCCUCGUCAUCGUAGUUUGGAGUAUGUACAGAGCACUCAGGAUAACAAGCAGUUUAUUUGCUUGAUGAGACUGAUUUGCCGGGGAAGGGAGCAGACACUGCUGUGAGCAUGAUGAUCACUACUUCAAGUACCAUGGUUUGGAGAAGAAAAGCCGAAAUUGGCACUUUGGUCUUUGGAAAAGCAGCAAACAGGCCUGGCUUUGUGCAGUGCAGGUUUGUUGCAUCGGAUAUGGUGUAGUUUACCUUGAUGAAAACCAGAGUAGUUGUGUUACCUGAACUCCUUUCCGAAAUCUGCAUCAAGGGGAUGGAUCUUGAAUAGCAGUGGUAUUAACAUGACAAGAUCAGAUAAUACAGCAGAUUUGACAUUUAAAAAGACAGUGUGCCCUUGACAGUCUCAACCAAAGCAUUGAACAAACUGUGCAACCUGUUAAUUAACUUUUAGAGCUGUGUGUUUGGACUAGUAUUUGUCAUUCAGAAAUAAGUAGUAACAUUAUUUCUCAGUAUGAGAAAACUCCAGGAAUUAGAAACUUACUGAUAUUUACUAUAACUAUGUAAACAAACCUCUUAGGGGUUUAGCCAGGUUAAAGAAAGACAGGGAGCCACAGAAAAGAGACAGGUUUCCAUGUGUCAAUAGAACACCCUUCAUUUAGCUGUGAAGAAUUUUAACAUUUUGAAUGUUACAGAAAAUGUAAGGAACAUUGUAUAAUGUUUAAUUGAAGUACUAUUAGGUUUCAAGUGCCAAAUAUGUAAAGCCUGUGUGUAUUUAUAAUCAUGUUAAUGUAAAGUUGUUAUCAAAACAAAAUCAAUAUUUGACUGUCUUAAGCUUUUAAUUCUAUGAAGGCAGGAGGUUGCCAAUCUAUUUCUUAGUUCUACCUUUUUCAUAACUGUGGCCAGGGGUUUGCAGGCCCUUAUAACACUUUAAAAAAAACCUGAUAAAAUUUCAAUUUAACUUUGUUAACUUUGAUAUGGUAAUCUAAUCUUACUGCAGCUCAUUUCUGCAAUAUUAUGACUGAAACUGUAUGUUAUAACAAUAAGUAUGGUUACCUGUAAGUUACUUUAAAUGGAAUUUUUUGACAAGUAUAUAAGACAAAAUUAUUGGAAAAAAUAAGAAAAAAUUGUUUGUUAAAAGGUAUAAUGCAUGUAUGUAGACAAAAACAAAAUGAAUAAUUACUUUGUGUUUGAAUAAACUGUAUAAUAAUUGUUUUCACUUCUUACAUUUGAUAUAUACUCCAAAAUGGCAAUUUAGGAUUUGACUCCAAAAGUUUUGCACACAGUAUCACAAUAUAUUUAUAUAUAUCACAGGUUAUUCACAUCUACUGAUCUCCAAUAGUUCACUUUUAUUGUUCGCAUAUUGUUAACAUUUAUUGGUUCAUAGUUCGCGAAUGGUUCACAUGUACUAUUCGCAAAUUGUUUACAUGUACUGUUCGCAAAUUGUUUACAUUUAAUAUUCGCAAGUUGUUACCAUUUAAUAUUCGCGAAUUGUUAACAUUUAAUAUUCGCAAGUUGUUACCAUUUAAUAUUCGCGAAUUGUUAACAUUUAAUAUUCGCAAGUUGUUAACAUUUAAUGAUCUCCAUUUGUACAAUUUGUUCACAAUUUGUUCGCAAUUUGAGUUCGCAGAUAAUCUAAUUUGCAUGUGAAAAGUGAACAUUCUGUGAACAUUGUGCGAAUGAAUUCUUAGAAGAAGAUACAUGUUCGCAGAUAGUUCGCAAAAUAUUUACAUAUUAUUCACAAUAACUGUUCACAUUUAAUGCAUUUUUUCUG